CUUCCUUCUUCAAUGUAGGUAAAUAUUCAUUUAUAUCAAAUUGAUAGGUUAGCUUCAGGUGUUAAUUGAAACAUGGAAAAUAUUGUGUUAUUGUCGUCAUUAUUUGGUAAGUUUAUUAAUGAACAUAUUCAUUUAGUUUCACAUUCAAACUGUAAACGUAAAAGUUUUCAGUUUAAUAUAGGAUACAUGUAUUCAAACAUUUUCUAAUACGUUCUUGGUCAAUUGUAACGUCAUGUGCUGCAUAAUUGUAAAAAGGUCCAAUAUAGAUAUUAGCAAAUAUCAACUAACAAACUGAAGAGAUUGUGCGCCUCUUGCACGUUGAAAUCGUUGAUCGAAGCUUGUUUUAAUGAGGUUUUUUUUGGGGGGGUCAUAAUUAUUAUUUUCAUCUUAUCUGAAAAAAAGAAGUGAAGUCACUGUAAUAGAAAAUAAUGAUUUGUUUUGUACUCUUAUACUAGAUUAAAUCAGACCCAUUUCAGAAAUUAAAAAAAAAAUAUGGUUUUUAAUUUUAGAUUAAUAAACAAUUCAUCUCGAUGUGAAAUAAGAUAUAAUACUCUGUUAACGACCACAGAACAUUUUUAACACCUUAGAAAAAACAAAUAACAUAAAUUAAUUAAAACAUUUUUAAAAGUAAUUCAAGCUAAUUUUAGUACAAUUUUAAUACCCUAACAAAGAUACAAGGUUUAUAAGUAUGAAUGCCAGGAGAGCGUAUCCUCUACAUGACGCUCAAAAAUAGGUGUGAUCAAAUCAUUUAGAAGGCCAAAUCCAAUACGAAGUUGAACAGCAUCAAAAACUAAACAUUUCCGAACAGUUGUGCUAAUUGCACAUAAAACGGUAACACAGUCUAUGUUUACAAAUAAAGCCAAAAAAAUAUUUCUGGGCCUUUUAUAGAUGACUAUGCGUUAUGGGCUCAUUGUUGAAGGUCGUACUGUGACCUAUAGUUGUUAAUUUCUGUGUAAUUUUGGCUCAUUGGCAAUCAAACCACAAUUAUUUUUUUUUAUAUAUACGCAGAUUAGCCUCAUCAGUAUUCAGUGUUCAGAAUAUGCUAUACCAAGGGAGCUUAAAUCCUUGUCCUUUACAAUAACAUGAAUUAUGAAAUUUAAUUUGACAGACAGAAUUAUUAGAUUACUGCCAGGCAAUGUAUUUUGAUUAUUUACAUAAAUUUAACGUAGUUAUCUUUUUUUCUUCCUCUGAAGUUAACGUGUAUGCAGGAUCUUGCUACUACAAACAUAGGGAUCCAACUUACUAUACUUCUACUUAUGAGUACUGCCUUGCUGGCUGUUGUGGCGCCGAUAAACCUGGUGGAUUAAAACAUUGCUGUAAUUCGACAGGGGCUACUAUCGGGAUUGUGAUUGCUAUAGUGGUCUUUGUGGCGUUGGUGCUCACAGCUUUAUACAUGUAUAGACGACGACGACGUAGACUUUUACUCGGUAUACGUAAUGGUAUUCGUUUGAUUGUGUCACUGUCCUUUUCACAACCUGAUCAAUAUGCAGAUCUGCAGAUCCUGCGCCUAAGCUUUGCAUACAAUAACAUAAAACUCCGUUUUUAUUCUGUUCUUGUUACUUUUUCAUCACCCGAUGAAGUUUUCCCUUCAAAAUGUUGAAAAGCAUGUAUCAAUCCAAUAACAAUACAGGAUCCAGAAAGUUAUUUUGAAUAGAGAGUAGAACGGAGAGUUUUCAUAUCCUUUUAUGCAAAAUUUGGAGACAGGAACUGUAUUUAAUUAAAAUUGUCCGUUUGUGCACUUGGUUGGAGGAACAUAUUUAAAGUGUUUUCCGUCCGUUCAACACAUUUGUAAACACUCAGAACUUAUUCAACAAAAACGUCAUGUACGUUUUAUACAAGUUUUUGAAGUUGUAAAAAGAGGCCUUUGUCAAGCCUAAUGACCGUAAUUUGAUUUGACAAUUUCUAUGAAGAUUAUCGGAUUUUUAGUAUGUUAUAACUUGACGCACGUCAUAAUAAUGCAUAAUGUCAAUCAGACUUAUCUGCUUUUAUUCUAGUAUAAACAGGGACUAUUAGUUGUUAAACAUUUAAUUCUUUAUAAUGAUAAUGGGAAAAUUUGUAAAACAAAACUGUUAAUAACUACUCCUGAUUGUUUUUUAAACGAUUUGUUUUUUUCGUAAGUUGAUUUAUAUCAUUUUCUAACUAAGAAUAUAAUUUUCUCAAACUUACUAAAUACCACAACAAACAAAUUACACAUAAAAUCAAAUAAAAAAACUUUAAAUUAAUAUAAAAGGUUAAAUCACUUAAAUAUUAAACUCCGAUUAAAACUCAAAACGGAAAGUCCCUAAUUAAAUGGCAAAAUCAAAUGAUAAAACAUAUCAAACGAACGGACAACAACUGACUUGGUACAUGUAUUUUCAAAUGUAGAAAAUGUUGGAUUGAGCCUGGUUUGAUAGCGCUAAACCUCUCACUUGUAUGACAGUCGCAUAAAAUUCCAUAAAAUUUACAACGAUGCGUAAACAAAACAUAAAUAAUAGGUGAAACAAUCAAAAAAUAGGUACAGCAGUCAUCAUUGUGUCACAAUCUCAAAACAAAAAAGUAUUUUGAAACAAAGCACAAAAGCAUCUAUCAAAUUUAAAAAAAAAACAAAACACAUUCAUUGCUUCGCGUGUUUGACGUCAGAAUAUCAUAUUUAAACAUUUUUGUUUUGUAGCUGGAUCGACAGAACGAGACAGAUUGGUGAUACCAGGUUCUCAGUCAACAGAUGGUCAUACACACUUUCAGAGACAAGCAAAGAAUAUUUACCAGUAAACAGAAACAGAUCCCAGAAAUGUGUGUCCACCAAGAAGUACUAUAUAAAGUCCGUACAACAGACAUAAUACUACUUUGUUAUUAAUAAACUCAUUCUAGAUACUAAGCUUUAAACAUUGUUCGCCAGACGUAUGUUUUGUCUAUAAAACUCAUCAAAUAAAAAAGGUCAAAUAAAGUAUCAAGACGCAAUAUUAUAAAUUUAUAUUUUAAAGACACACUUAGUGUUUUCUAAACUUUAUAUUGUUUCUCUGAUGCUUUUUUCCACUGUUUAGCUCUGUAAUGUUGGUAAUGAUAAAAAAAAUCCGCGAUAACAUGUCUUGUUAAUGGUAAUAA
rnacentral:lncRNA from 1 species